rnacentral:rRNA from 1 species
UACGGAGGGUGCGAGCGUUGUUCGGAAUCACUGGGCGUAAAGCGCGUGUAGGCGGCCCCACUAAGUCUGAUGUGAAAGCCCGGGGCUCACCCCCGGAAGUGCAUUGGAAACUGGUGGACUAGAGUCCCCGGAGAGGAGAGUGGAAUUCCUGGUGUAGCGGUGAAAUGCGCAGAUAUCAGGAGAACACCAGUGGCGAAGGCAGGCUCUCUGGGACGGUGACUGACGCUGAGACGCGAAAGCGUGGGGAGCGAACAGG